rnacentral:rRNA from 1 species
UGGUAGGAUAGUGGCCUACCAUGGUUUCUACGGGUAAAACAGUAUCCGUUGCCCGUAGGCACGAUCGUUGGGGGGGGCUUUCGGGCCCUCUCGGCGACACCGCUGGCUCCGAAGAGGCUCCCAGUGGGGGCUGACUCGGGGGCGAGCUCCGGCCUGGAGCCGCUCGAACGCAUGCAAAGCGGUGGGCUUCGUCUGACUCGAGGCUUUCGGUACAUGCUACCGCCCGGCCACGCCGCCGGGUCGGAUAAAUGAACGGGGAAUUAGGGUUCUAUUCCGGAGAGGGAGCCUGAGAAACGGCUACCACAUCCAAGGAAGGCAGCAGGCGCGCAAAUUACCCAAUCCCGACACGGGGAGGUAGUGACAAUAAAUACUGAUACAGGGCUCUUUU